rnacentral:tRNA from 1 species
GGAGAGGUGGCCGAGUGGUCGAAGGCGAUCCUCUGCUAAGGGAGUAGGCCACAAAAGGGCCUCGUGGGUUCGAAUCCCAUCCUCUCCGCCA